UAACCUUUUCCAAUCUUCAAAGUCAUAAUCUUACCAACUCGCUCCCUCUAUUUCUAAUAUGGAACGUCAACUAUAUACUUUUCUACAAGUUUUCUAUAUAUAAACACACACAAAGACGUCUGUGACAGAUUAAUAAUCAAGACAUAGAUAUGGGAAGCCAAGGCAUGAGUUCUUCAACGAGUCCCUUGGUGGUGAAGAAAUCACAAGUGGUCAUAGUGAAACCUUCAAAGCCAACACCUGAAGUCUCUCUUUCCAAAAAAAGCCAACACCUGAAGUCUCUCUUUCCCUCUCCACACUCGACAACGAUCCUUACAUCGAAACCCUCGCCAAAACCAUCUACGUCUACGCCCCAUCUUCCAAAGAAGUUCAAGACCCUGCUUCCCUCCUUCAAGAUGCUCUCUCUCAAGCUCUUGUCUAU
rnacentral:lncRNA from 1 species